AUUGAACGCUGGCGGCAUGCCUUACACAUGCAAGUCGAACGGUAACGCGGGGCAACCUGGCGACGAGUGGCGAACGGGUGAGUAAUGCAUCGGAACGUGCCCAGUAGUGGGGGAUAGCCCGGCGAAAGCCGGAUUAAUACCGCAUACGACCUACGGGUGAAAGGGGGGGAUCGCAAGACCUCUCGCUAUUGGAGCGGCCGAUGUCAGAUUAGGUAGUUGGUGGGGUAAAGGCCUACCAAGCCGACGAUCUGUAGCUGGUCUGAGAGGACGACCAGCCACACUGGGACUGAGACACGGCCCAGACUCCUACGGGAGGCAGCAGUGGGGAAUUUGGGACAAUGGGCGCAAGCCUGAUCCAGCCAUGCCGCGUGCGGGAAGAAGGCCUUCGGGUUGUAAACCGCUUUUGUCAGGGAAGAAAUCUUCUGGGUUAAUACCUCGGGAGGAUGACGGUACCUGAAGAAUAAGCACCGGCUAACUACGUGCCAGCCGCCGCCGUAACAC
rnacentral:rRNA from 1 species